rnacentral:rRNA from 1 species
UACGUAGGGUGCAAGCGUUAAUCGGAAUUACUGGGCGUAAAGCGUGCGCGGGCGGUUUUGUAAGUCUGUCGUGAAAGCCCCGGGCUCAACCUGGGAAUUGCGAUGGAGACUACAAGGCUUGAAUCUGGCAGAGGGGGGUAGAAUUCCACGUGUAGCAGUGAAAUGCGUAGAGAUGUGGAGGAACACCGAUGGCGAAGGCAGCCCCCUGGGUCAAGAUUGACGCUCAUGCACGAAAGCGUGGGGAGCAAACAGG